rnacentral:tRNA from 1 species
GGGCGUGUAGCUCAGUUGGGAGAGCGUCGCCCUUACAAGGCGAAUGUCGGGAGUUCAAGCCUCUCCACGCCCACCA